UUUUUUUUUUUUUUUUUUUUGAGACGAAGUCUCGCUCUUGUCCCCAGGCUGAAGUGCAAUGGCACAAUCUCGGCUCACUGCAACCUCCGCCUCCUGGGUUCAAGUGAUUCUCCUGCCUCAGCCUCCUGAGUAGCUGGGAUUACAGGUGCCUGCCACAACGCCCGGCUAAUGUUUGUAUUUUUAGUAGAGAUGGGGUUUUAUCAUGUUGGCCAGGCUGAUCUCGAACUCUUGACCUCAGGUGAUCCGCCCUCCUUGGCCUCCCAAAGUGCCAAAGUGCUGGGAUUACAGGCGUGAGCCACCACGCCCAGCUGCUCGUAUCUUUUUAAUACUGAAUAAUCUUCUAUUGUCUGGAUGUACCACAAGUUUUUAGAAAUCCAUUCCACUACUGAGGAACAUCUUGAUUACUUCCAAGUUUUGGCAGUUAUGAAUAAAGCUGUAAUAAACACUCAUAUGGUGAUUUCUGUGUGGAAAAAACGUUUUAUACCAAAGGUCAACUAGAUUUUUGUUUAUCCUCUAUAUUAUAUUCUAGGAGAUUUACAGUUUUGCACUUCACAUUUAGGUAAAUAAUUCAUUUUGAGUUAAUUUUUGUGAAAGAUAAAAGACCUGUACCUAGAUUUAUUAAUUUUUGCAUGCAGAUGGUUUCAUUGGUCUGUUUUCAUGCUGCUGAUAAAGACAUACCUGAGACUGGGAAAUUUACAGAAGAAAGAGGUUUAGUGGACUUACACUUUCACAUUGGUUGGGGAGGCCUCACAAUCAUGGCAGAAGGCAAGAAGGAGCAAGUCACAUCUUACAUGGAUGUCAGCAGGCAAAAAGAGAGCUUAUGCAGGAAAACUCCCCCUUAUGAAACCAUCAGAUUUCAUGAGACUCAUUCACUAUCAUGAGAACAGCAUGGGAAACACCCACGCCCAUGAUUCAAUGACCUCCCACUGGGUCCCUCCCACAACACAUAGAAAUUCAGAUGAAAUUUGUGGGGGGACACAGCCAAACCAUAUCAUUCCACCCCUGGCCCUUCCUAAAUCACAUGUUCUCACAUUUCAAAACCAAUCAUGCCUUCCUAACAGUCCCCUGAAAUCUUUACUCAGUUCACCAUUAACUCAAAAGUCUGCAGUCCAGAGUCUCAUCUGAGAUAAGGCAAGUCCCUUCCGCCUAUGAGCCUGCAAAAUCAAAAGCAGGUUAGUUACUUCCUAGAUACAAUGGGUGUACAGGCAUUGGGUAAAUAUAACCAUUCUAAAUUGGAAAAAUUGGCCAAAACAAAGGGGCUACAGGCCCCAUGCAAUUCCAAAAUCUGUGCAGUCAAAUCUUAAAACUCCCAAAAUGAUCUCAUUUGACUCCAUGUCUCGUAUCCAAGUCACACUGAUACAAGAGGUGGACUUACACGACCUUAGGCAGCUCUGCCCCUGUGGCUUUGCAGGUUAUAACCCCCCUCCUGGCUGCCUUCACAAGCUGGUGUUGAGUGUCUGCAGCUUUUCCAGGCACACGUGGCAAGCUGGCGGUGGAUCUACCAUUCCGGGGUCAGGAGUAUGGUGGUCCUCUUCUCACAGUUCAUACUAGGCAGUGCCCCAGAAGAGAAUCUGUAUGUGGACUCUGACCCCACAUCUCCCUUCUGCACUGCCCUAGCAGAGGUUCUCCAUGAGGGCCCUGCCCCUGCAGCAAACUUCUGCCUGGGCAUCCAGGUAUUUCCAUACAUCUUCUGAAAUAUAGGCUGAGGUUCCAUUGUCAGGCUGCAAAUUUUAAAACUUUUAUGCUGUUUCCCUUUUAAAACUGAAUGCCCUUAAUAGCAUCCAGGUCACAUCUUGAAUGCUUUGCUGCUUAGAAAUUUCUUCUGCCAGAUACCAUAAAUCAUCUCUGUUAAGCUCAAAGUUCCACAAAUCUCUAGGGCAGGGGCAAAAUGCUGCUAGUCUCUUUGCUAAAACAUAACAACAGUAUCUUUGAUUAAGUUCCCAACAAGUUCCUCAUCUCCAUCUGAGACCACCUGAGCCUGGAUUUCAUUGUCCAUAUAAUUAUCAGCAUUUUUGUCAAAUCCAUUAAUGAGUCUAGGGAGUUCCAAAUCUUCCCACAUUUUCCUGUCUUCUUCUGAGCCCUCCAAACUCUUCCAAGUUCUAUCUGUUACCCCAUUCCAAAGUUGCUUCCACAUUUUCAUGUGUCUUUUCAGCAGCACCCCACUCUACUGGUACCAAUUUACUGCAUUAGUUCGUUUUCACACUGCUGAUAAAGACAUGCCUGAGACUGGGCAAUUUACAAAAGAAAGAGGUUUAAUGGACUCUCAGUUCCACGUGGCUGGGGAGGUCUCACAAUCAUGGCAGAAGGUGAAAGGCACGUCUCACAUGGUGGCAGACAAGAGAAGAGAUCUUGUGGAGGGAAACUCCCCUUUAUAAAACCAUCAGAUCUGAUGAGACUUUUUCGCUAUCAUGAGAAUAGCACAGUAAAGACCCACUCCCGUGAUUCAGUUUCUUCCCACUGGGUCCCUUCUACAACAUGUGGGGAUUGUGGGAGUUACAAUUCAAGAUGAGAUUUGGGUGAGGACACAGCCAAACCAUAUCAACACAACUUGUUUAAACAAUUAUAUUUUCUCCAUUGUAUUGCUUCUGCCUUUUAAAAAAAGUCAUUUGACUAUAUUUAGGUGGGUAUAUUUCUGGACUCUCUGUUCUACUUCAUUGACCUAUUUGUCUAUUUUAUUUUAUUUUGUAUCAACAAUACAGUGUAUUGAUAGCUUUAAAGUAAGUCUGAAGGUGAGUAGUGUCAGUCCUCUGACUUCGAUUUCCUUCAAUAUUAUGUUGGCUAUUCUGGGUCUUUAGUCUCUCAAUGUAAACAUUAUUGGUUUGUCAAUAUCCACAAAGCAAUUAGCUAGAAUUUUGAUUGAGAUUCCAUGGAAUUUAUAAAUGAAAUUGGGAAAGACUAACAUGUUGACAGUAUUGAAGCUUCCUAUUUAUGAACUAGAAUGUCUCUCCAUUUUUUAGUUUCUAUUUAAUUUUUUUCAUGAGAGUUUCAUUGUUUUCUUCAUAUAGAUAUUUAGAUCUUAUAUAUAUUUUGUUAGAUUUUUAACUAAAUAUUUUCCAUUUCAAAUUCCAUUUGUUCAUUACUGGUAGUUAGGAAAGUGAUUGACUUUUGUAUAUUAACUUCGUAACCUGAAACUUUGCUAUAAUUGCUUACUAGUUCCAGUUUUUUGCUAUAAAAAGCUUACUAGUUUUCUUUUCUUUUUGGUCAGUUCUUUCAGAUUUUCUAAAUAGACAUUUAUGCCAUCUGAGAACAAUGACAAUUUAAUUGUUUUCUUCUCAAUCUAUAUAUCAUAUAUUUUAUUUUCUCAUUUUACUAGCUAGAGCUUCCACGACAAUGUUGAAAAGGAGUGGUAAGACGACAUUCUUAUAUUUUCCUGGUCUUAAUAGAAAAGUUUUCAGUUUUUCAUCAUUAAGUAGGAUAUUUGCUGAGGUUUUCAAUAGAUAUUCUUCAUAAAGUUGAGAAAGUUCCCCUCUAUUUCUACUUUUCUGAGAGUUUUUAUCAUAAAUGGCUGCUGGGUUGUAUCAGAUGCUUUUCCUGUAUCAACUGAUAUGAACAUGUGCCUUUUCUUCUUUAGCUUGUUGAUGUAAUAUGUUACAUUACUUUCUUUUUGAACCUUGAACCAGUCUUGCAUUGCUGGGACAAAUACCAAUUGGUUGUGGUAUAUAAUUCUUUUAAUGCAUUGCUGAAUUCAGUUUUCUAAUAUUUUGUUGAGGACUUUUUUAUCUGUCUUCAUGAGAGACAUUGUUCCAUAGUUUUCUUUUUUUGUAAUAUCUUUCUUUGGUUUUGGUAUUAGGGCAAUACUGAACUCAUAGAAUGAAUUGGGAAGUACUUCCCCUGUGUCUAUCUUCUGGAAGAGACUGUAAAAGCCAUGUGAGGACACCUAGAUGAUGUCAUUUAUGAGGAAAGGGCCUUCAUCAGACUCUGGUCCUGCUGGUGCCUUGAUCUUGGACUUCCUACUCUCCAGAACUGCACAUCAUUAAAAUAUCAACUUUGGCAGAGACGUGGAGCAAGAUGACUGCAUAGAAGUUUCUACUGAUCAUUUCCCACCGCUUCCACGGGAACACCAAGUUUGAUAUCCACACAAAGGGAGCACCUUCAAAGGAAGCAAAAAUCAGGUGAGCACUGACAGUGCCUGGUUUUGAAUUAAUAUUUCUGAAAGAGGCACUGAAGAGGGUAGGCAAAAUAGUCUUAAACUGCUAACAUUAUCCCUCUCCCAUUCCCCAGCAGCAGCUGUGUGGCAUGGAGAAUUUGUGCACUUGGGAGGGAAAGUGCAGUGAUUGUGAUGCUUUGCAUUGAACUUGGUGCUUCCCUGUCACAGUGGAAAGCAGAACCAGACUGUACUUAUCUAACGCUUUCCUACAGAGGGAAUGUGUGGACAGAGCCUAGCCAGAUGGGAAUGGUCCAUCCCAGUGGUCAGAGUUUGAGUUCCAGCAAGCCUAGCUCCUAAGUGCUGAGCUGGUCUCAGAGCCAGUGGACUUGGGGGAUAUGCAACCUACUGAGAUACCAGCAAGGGUGCUAAGGGAAUGCUUGCAUCUUCCCUUUCCCAACCCCAGGCAGCACAGUUCACAGCUGCAAAAGAGACCCCUUCCUUCUACUUGAGGAGAGGAGAGGAAAGAGAAAACUGGACUUUUUCUUGUAUCUUGAAUAAAAACUCAGCCACAGUAGAUUAGAGCACCAUAAGGCCUAUAAGCCCCAUUGCAAGCCCUAGCUCCCAGAUAACAUUUCUAGACACACCCUGGGCCAGAAGGGAACAUACUGCCUUGAAAGAAAGGAUCCAGUACAAGCAGAAUCCAUCACCUCCUGACUAAAGAGCACUUGGGACCUGAAGAAUCUCACAGCAAUACCCAGCUGUGAGACUUGAGUGAGACUCAGAGACAUGCUGGCUUCAGGAAAGAACCAGCACAUUCCCAGCUGUGGAGGCUAUGAGGAGAAACUCCUUCUAUUUGAGAAAAGCAAAGGCAAAAGCAAAGGGGACUUUGUGUUGCAUCUUAGGUACCAGCUCAGCCACAGUAGGGUAGAGCACCAAGCAGGCUCAUCAGGUCCCCAGUUACAGGCCUUGGUUCACGGCAUUUUAGGACCUACCCUGGACCGAGGGGAGACCACUACCAUGAAGAAUGAGUCCCAGGCCUGGCAGCAUUCACCACAAGCUGACUAAAGAUCCUUUGGGCCUCAACUGAACAUUGGCAGUAGGCUGUUAGUACUUCCCAUGGGCUUAUGAUGGUGGAGCCUACGGGGUGAGGCUCCUUUGCCUUUAGAAAGGGAGGGAAGAAUGGGGAGGACUCCAUUUUGUGGUUUGAGUACCAGCUCAGCUCCAGGGGAACAGAAUGCAAGGUAGAUUUUUAAAGUUUUUUCUCCAGUACCUGGCUCCUAGAUGGCAUCUCUAGACCCACCCACGACCUGGGGGAACUUGCUACCCUGAAGGGAAGAACACAAUACUGGCUGGCUUUACUACCUGCUGAUUGUAGAGACCCAGAACCUUGAACAAACAUAGGUAGUAGCCUAGUAGUGGUCACGUUGAGCGUUGGGCAAGACCUAGAGCUGUGCUGACUUCAGUUCUGAUUCAGCAGUGUCCCAGGGGAGGUGGCUACAAAGGUGCUUGUGUUAUGUCAUCCCCAGCUCCAGGAAGCUCAGCAUACAAAGAGAAACUCCAUUGGUUUUGGAGAAAGUAAGGAAAGAGAACAAGAGUCUCUGCCUGGUAAUCCAGAUAAUUCUUCCAGAUCUUAUCCAAGACCACUUAAGUGGUACUUCUGUGAGUCUACAAGGACCACAGUAUUGCUGGGCUUGGGGUGCCACUUAAUGCAUAUACAGUUUAGAUCACAACACCCAAGUCCUUCUGAAUACUUAAGAAGCCUUCCCAAGGAGAAAGGGUACAAAGAAGCCCAGAUGGCGAUGACUAUAAUAAGUACCUAACUCUUCAAUGCUCAGACACCAAAGAACUUCCGCAAGCAUCAAGAACAUUCAGGGAAUAUGAUCUAACCAAAUAGAGUAAAUAAGGCACAAGGAACCAAUCCUGGAGAAACAGAGACACGUGACAUUUCAGACAGAGUAUUAUUAUGAAAAUAGCUGUCUUGAAGAAACUCAAAGAAAUUCAAGAUAACACUGAGAAGGAAUUCAGAAUCCUAUCAGGUAAAUUUAACAAAGACAUUAAAGUAAUUAAAAGGAAUCAAGCAGAAAUUCUGGAGCUGAAAAAUGCAAUUGACAUAUUGAAGAAUGCAUCAGAGUCUUUUAAUAGCAGACUCAAUCAAGCAGGAGAAAGUAUUAGUGAGCUUGAAGACAGGCUAUUUGAAAUACACAGUCAGAGGAGACAAAAGAAAAAAAGAAUAAAAAUAAAGCAUGCCUUCAGGAUCUAGAAAAUGCAUCAAAAGGGAAAAAUCUAAGUUAUUGGCCUUAAGUGGGAGGCAGAGGAAGGGAUGGAGUAGAAAGUUUAUUCAACAGGAUAAUAACAGAGAAGCCCAAACCUAGAGAAAGCUAUAUAUAUAUAUAUAUAUUCAAGGACAAGAAGGUUAUAGAAUACUAAUGUGAUUUAACCAAAAGAAGACUACCUCAAAGCAUUUAAUAAUCAAACUUCCAAAGGUCAAGGACAAAGAAAGGAUUCUGAAAGUAGCAAGAUAAAAAACAAUUAACAUACAAUGGAGCUCCAAUAUGUCUGGCAGCAGACAUUUCUGUGGAAACCUUAAGGUCAGGAGAGAGUGGCAUGACAUAGUUAAAGUGCUAAAAGAAAAAAAAAGCUUAUACCACAGAAUGGUACAUCCAGGGUAUAUAUUCUUCAAACAUGAAGGAGAGAUAAAGACUCAGACAAACAAAAGCUGAGGGAUUUCAUCAACACCAGGCCUGUCCUCCGAGAGAUGCUAAAAGGAAUAUAUUAAUCACAAGAAAAAUAGAUGUAAAUGAGCAAAAAGAAAUCAUCUGAAGGUACAAAACUCACUGGUAAUAGUAAGUACACUGAAAAACACAGAAUAUAAAAACACUGUAGCUGUGUUGUGUAAAGUAUCCUUGCCUUAAGUAGAAAGAAUAAAACAGGAACCAAUCAAAAAUAAUAACUACAACUUUUCAAGACAUAGAUUGUACGAUAAGAUAUAAAUAGAAACAACAAAAAGUUAGAAAGUGGGAGAGGAAGUUUAAGUGUAGAGUUUUUAUCAGUUUUCUUUUUGCUUAUUAGUUUGUUUACAUAUGCAAGCAGUGUUAAGUUGUUAUCAACUGAAAAUGUGUUAUAUUAUUUGCAAGCCUCUUGGUAACGUGAAAUCAAAAAACAUAUAAUGUACACAUGAAAAAGAAAAAGCCAGACAUUAAAUCACACACCUGAGAAAAUCACUUUUACUAAAAGGAAGACAGGAAAGAGGAAAAGAAGGAAGAACAGACCACAAAACCACCAGAAAAUAAAUAACAAGAUAGUAGGAGUAAGUCCUUACUUAUCAAUAAUAACAUUGAUUAUAAAUUGACUAAACUUACAAAUUAAAAAAUAGAGUGACUGAAUGAAUAAAAAACCAAGAUCCAAUAAUCUGUUGCCUAGAAGAAACACAUUGCACCUAUAAAGACAUACAAAAACUGAAAAUGAAGGGAUGGAAAGAUAUAUUUCAUGCAAAUGAAAAUCAAAAAAGAAUAGGAGUAGGUAUAGUUACAUCAGACAAAAUAGGUUUCAAGACGAAACUAUAAGAAGAGACAAAGUAGGUCACUAUGUAUGAAUAAGGGGUCAAUUCACCAGGAGGAUAUAAACAUUAUAAAAAUAUAUGCACCCAACAACUGGAGCACUUAGACAUCUAAUGCAAAUAUUAUUAGAGCUAAAGCAAGAGAUGGACCACAAUACAAUAAUAGCUGCAGACUCCAUUACUCCACUUUCAGCACUGGACAGAUUUUAGACAGAAAAUUUAAAAAAAUCAGACUUAUCUACACUAUAGAUCAAAUAAACCUAGUUAGAUAUUUAAAGACCAUUUCAUCCAAGAGCCGCAGAACACACAUUCUUUUCCUUAGUACAUGAGUCAUUCUCAAUAAUAAGCCAUAUGUUAUGUCACAAAACAAGUCCUAAAACAUUCAAAAAAUUGAAAUACUGUCAAGUAUCUUCUCUGAACACGAUGGAAUAAAACUAGAAAUCAAUAACAAAUGAAUUUUGGAGAAUAUAAAAACACAUGGAAAUUAAACAAUAUGCUCCUGAAUGACCAGUGGGUCAAAGAAGAAAUUAAGGAAGAAAUUGAAAAAUUUAUUGAAAGAAAUGAUAAUGGAAACACAACAUACCAAGACCUAUGGGAUAUAGCAAAAGGAGUACUAAGAUAGAAGUUUAUAGCUAUGAGUGCCUAUAUCAAAAAACAAGAACAAUUUUAAAUAAAAAAUUUAAUAACGUAAAUUUAAUAACAACUUAAAAUACUAGACCAUCAAGAACAAAUCAAACAGAAAUUAGUAGAAGAAAAAAAAUUCAGAAUAGAGAUACAUAAAUUUAAAUGAAGAAAACAAUACCAAAUAUCAAUGAAACAAAAAGAUGCUUUUUGAGAAGAUAAACAAAUUGACAAACUUUUAGCCAGACUAAGAAAAAAAAAGAUCCAAAUAAAUAUAUUCAGAGAUGAAAGAGGAGACAUUACAACCAAUACAAUAGAAAUUCAAAGAAUCCUUAGUAGCUACUAUGAGCAACUAUAUGCUAAUUAAUUGGAAAAUCUGGAAGAAAUAAAUUCCUAGACACAUACAACUUAUCAAGAUUGGACCAUGAAGAAAUCUAAACCUGACUAGACAAAUAAUAACAAGAUUGAAUCCGUAAUAAGUCUUCUAGUAAAGAAAAGUCAGGCAGGAAUCCAACUGUUUUACACUGAAUUCUACCAAAAUUUAAAGAAGAAUUAGUACCCCAUCCUAUUCAAAGGAUUCUGAAAAAUAGAGGAGGAGGGAAUACUUCUAUUCUCAUACUAUGAGGCCAGUGUUACUCUGAUACCAACCUGAGACAGAGACAUCAAAAAAGAAACCACAGGCCAAUAUUAUUGGUUACUAUUAAUGCAAAAAUCCUCAACAGUAUAUUAUUAAGACAAAUUCAACAACACAUGAAAAAGAUCAUUCAUCACGACCAAGUAAUAUUGAUCCCAGAGAUGCAAAGAUAGUUCUACAUAUGCAAGUCACUCAGUGUGAUGCAUCAUGUCAAAGAAUGAAGGGAAAAAAUAUAGGAUCAUUGCAACUUACACUGAAAAGGCAUUUGAUAAAAUUCAACAUUUUUUCAUGAUGAAAACACUCCAAAAUCUUGGUAUAACAGGAAAUACCUCAACAUAAUAGAAAGCAUAUCUGACAGACACACAGUUGUCAUAAUAUCAUAUUGAAUGGGGAGUAUCUGAAAGCCUUUCCUCUAAGAUCUGAAACGGGAUGCCCACUUUCAACAUUAUUAUUUAAUGUGUUACUGGAAGUCCUAGCUAGAGCACUCAGACAAUAGAAAGAAAUAAAGGACAUCCAAAUUGGAAAGGAAGAAGUCAAAUUUUCCUUCCUUGUUUACAGAUGAUAUAUUCUUAUAUUUGGGAAAAUCUAAAGACACCACCAAAAUCUAUUAGAACUGAUAAACUAAUUCAGUAAAGUUGCAGAAUAAAAAAUCAACAUACAAAAAUCAGUAGUACUUCCAUAUGCUAACAGUGAACAAUCUGAAAAAGAAAUCAAGAAAGUAAUCCCAUUUGUAAUAGCUGUAAAUAAAAUAAAAUAAAAUAAAAUACCUAGGAAUUAACCAAAGAAGUGAAAGAUCUCUAUAAUGAAAGCUAUAAAAAAUUGUUGCAAGAAAGUGAAGAUGCUACAAGAAAAUGCAAAGAUAUUCCAUGCUCAUGGGAUUGGAAGAAUCAAUAUUUUUUAAAUGUCCAUACUAUUUAGAGUAAUGUACAGAUUCAAUGCAAUCCCUAUCAAAAUGACUAUGAUACCAAUGACAUUCUUCACAGAAUUAGAAAAAGCAAUUUUAAAAUUUAUAUGGAACCAUGAAAGAUCCAGAGUAGUCAAAGCUAUCCUAAGCAAAAAGACCAAAACUGUAGGUAUCACAUUUACCCUGAUGGUAUUACUAUGCACUAUAUGACUAUAUCAAAAUAUGUCAACAUAUACUCCUCUGUGUACCUACAAAAUUUUUAAAAACCAACUUUGUCGCUAGGAACUAGACCACAAAGGACAAACACACACACAGGAAAGAGAUCAAACAUAGCAUAAGAAAUUAGAGAAAGUAAGAAAAAGAAUGAGAAGAAAAUAAAGAGGAAAAUGAAAAAAAAAGCUUUCUAAAAAUGAGGCCGCAAAUGAAAUUCCUAAACAUAAGUAGGUACGUAAAGAUAUCUAAAGCUAAGACAAUGAAAAAAUCAACAAUAAGAAAAUAAAUUUCAUCCAGAUGACAUUGUUUUUAGAGUAGUCUGACAAAGAUUAACAUAUAUUUGGAUUAAGCUAGAGAACUGAACACAAACAUGUAUUUUAGGUCAAUAGUGAAUUUACAAGUAAGUUACAGUAAAUUGAAUUUUUAAGGUAUAAAAUCACAAAGAACAGAAUUCCAAAGACAACAAAAUUUUGCCUUUAGAACAUUAUCUUCAGCUGCUUCUUUCUGCUCCAGAUAUGGCAAAAAAAAGUUAAUGAAACGAUCUUACAGGCUCGAGAAAUCACUAGCAGUGAUGGAAAUGCACUUUCUAGAAAGUCAAUGAAAUAUACAAGACCAAUUCUCUAAUCUCUUCUUUGCUGAACUGCAUAGAACAAGGCUCAUUCAAGCUAAUAUGGCAUAAAAAAAUCCCCAUAAAUAAAACAUAGUUUAAAUAUAUUCCUGCUGGAAUAAAGUCUUCUAACUAAAAUCAUCAUCUUUUUAAUCCUAUCUAAUAUGUGUUUAUAAUCUCCCACAACUAUUGCUGAAUUGGAAUACCAAAUAAUUAAUCAAAGCUACAAUGGGAAUUUCAGUGUUUUGUACAUUUUUUCAUUUAAUAUUGUUUCAUAGUAAACUGACCAAUGGUACCUUUUUCCCAUAUUUCUGUCUUCAUACUAUAACAAAAUAUCACUCCUGUAAGAAAAAUUCUGCACAUGUAUGAUUACUCUUUUUUUCUCUAUGAAAUGAUAAUUUCUUCAUCCUUGAUUAUGCCAUCUGAAUUAUUCUGACAGAAGUGCCACCUUCAUAAUCAUUUAGCUUUAGAGCCAUUUUUAAAAAUCAGAAUUAUAUUUAUCAGAAGUUAUAAUGAUUGCAGGGUAUAUUUUCUAUCUUUGUAACAGAGCUGCUGGCUUUAUGUAUACUUUGCUGCUGGGUAAGUCCUCUUUUCUCCAAAAUUAUAAAUACAAGAUGUUGAAAGCGUUUUUCAAAUACACACACACACACACACACACACACACACACAUAUACACACAUAUGUGUGUGUAUUGUGUAUGUAUACAUAUAUAUUUAAUAAGCUUAUAAUCACUCAAAAACACAUCAGUGUCAGGGUGACAGAUGCUUUGACAGUAAGCCAACAUGGAAAGACAGAAAGAGCAGAAUAAAAAAAUUUAAAAAAAUGUAUCAAUGUAUCUGUCGAAGGAACUGGAGGACAUGAACCAGUUACCUAAAACAAUCAGCUCUGACAAUUUUUGAAGUCUACGUUAUUCAUAUCUUCAAGUAUAUUCUGCAUUUGUUCCCAGAGAUUGUGACUAGCAUUACAAUAUGAGAUACAGACUAAAAGACAGUAAUGAAACUCUUGAAUGUAAAUAUAUGCAUCAAAUUAUAAUAAAAUUUAUCCUGUAAACUUGUUUUGAGGAAGUUCAUGUAAUGUUCCUUGCAAAAUUGUGCACCCUCCUGGGUUAAUGUUUAUACCUUCUUAAAGUCCCGAAAGGAUGAAAUAAUGAUACCAAACAGCCAAUAUUUAAUGAUACAUGUCUGUAGCUGGGUUUUCAAUGUCCAUGGAAAAAUGCUUAGUAUAAUUCAGAUAAAAUAUUCAAGACAAGUGUGUAGUCUAUUAAAUAAUCAGUGGAAAAAUCUUACCCGGAAAAAGGCAAACGUGAGUGGAAUAAAGAUCUCAAGCUAUAGAACAUUGUUUACAAAUGCAGAUAGAUCCACAAACAAAUUUUGCCAUGUUCAAAGUCAGAUUCAGGGAAGUGAAUAUAAGCGAACAUAUUUAAAGAAGAAAGUAUACCUUCAAAAUCAAUCUCAUUGAUGGAUUUACUAGUAAUGAAAAGCAUAUUUGAAUACUAAUAUCAACAUUUUAAAAUAUUAAUUUCUGAAUUUAGAAGUUUUAGAGUUUUCUUUUUGGAUUAAGAAAUUCAUCUGUUCACUCAGAUUAAUAAUCAGCUUUUCAGGCUGUUUCCCCCUAAGGCUGAAAUAUAAAAUUAAUCACUUCCUCUUUGCCAUCAACAUUAUGUAAUGUUCAUAUUUUAGUAUAAUCCAUACCACAUUCUAAUUCAAUGAUUUGUUUCUACUAUUUUUUCUCUUCAUAUGCCUGUGAGCUAACUCUGCCAGCCUGUUUUGAUUAACUUUGUAUCCUUAGUAAUAUAGACUGAUGUAUUAGAGAGUCAAAUGUUUAAAUUCCUGAACAAAUCAUGUCAAAAAAGAAAUAACAUUCUCAGUGUGUUUUCCAUAACUGGCACAUUGGUAAAAUAAUUCUAGCAUCUGGCACUCAUCUUUUUUUUAGGAUUAGCUGGAUUUUAAAAAUGCACACAUUAUAUCAAUUAAUUUGAGGUUAUAUGUCCAAGACAUAACUAUUGCCUCUAAAUCAGCAGAAUUAACAAGUGGAAUUUUCUUUCAGUUAAGUUUAGAAAAAAAUAACAUCAAAACAAAAACAAACUCAACCUGGGUCUAUGAGCACUUUUGGAUGCAAAAAUGGAAUAUAUAAUUUAAGUUUUUCCUGAAUUUUCCUUUGAUAAUGAUAUUUUAAAAAAUCUAUUGUACUUGUGUAUAUAAGGUUGUUAUUAUGGUCUAAUUAUGAUAUGUAUCUCUGUUUUAUAAAAGAGAGCAAAUACAAUAUGUUAAGAAAAAGGAAAUGUGAUAUAGCAGGUGGAUUGUGGUGUUUGGGAACAGAUAAUCAGAAUCUCCUAUAUGAUUUGGGUAAAUUGCUUAAGGUUGAUUAUAUUUCAUAUCCUCAUUUUAAGAAGUAGAUUUAACAGUAAAAAGAAUUAUGAGGGUUGAACAAAAAUAUAUAUAAAUUGGUAACUGGAAGGUAAACCUUCUAUUUGUAUUUUUCUAUUCUACAUAAAGCUUUAGUUUGGUAUGUUAACAAACUAAUGAAGUCUAUGUGUUACUUGGCCAUCUUAAACAAAUAUAUGUAUAUCUAUGUAUUGGUGUGGCACCUGUUUUUCUGGAUCCCUCUUAAACGUUCAGCUAAGAAAGCCAAGGUCAAAUUAGAGGGCUGAAAUAAAAUCAACUGAUGGCAAAACACACAAGAUGGGAAUGGUGUGGAGAGCUGCUAUUGGCAUUCUAGUUCCUAUUUCUUCUGUUAAAUGAGGACUAUAAUUUUGAAAAAUAAUAAAACACUUCUGUAUAUGCA